rnacentral:rRNA from 1 species
GAUGAACGCUGGCGGCGUGCCUAAUACAUGCAAGUCGAGCGAACGGACGCGAAGCUUGCUUCUCUGAUGUUAGCGGAGGACGGGUGAGUCACACGUGGAUCCCCUCCCUAUAAGACUGGUAUCACUUCGGGAAACCGUAGCUAAUACCGGAUAAUAUUUUGAACCGCAUGGUUCAAUAGUGAAAGACGGUCUUGCUGUCACUUAUAGAUGGAUCCGCGCUGCAUUAGCUAGUUGGUAAGUUAACGGCUCACCAAGGCAACGAGGCAUAGCCGACCUGAGGGGGUGAUCGGCCACACGGGAACGUGGACACGGUCCUUAGGACUAAGAGAGGCAGCAGUAGGGAAUGUGCCGCAGAGGUCGAAAGUCUUGCGGAGUAACGCCGAGCGAGUGAUGGAGGUCUUCGGAGCGGAAAACUCGGUUAUGAGGUAAGAACAUAUGUGUAAGUAACUGUGCACAGCUUGACGGUACCUAAUCAGAAAGCCACGGCUAACUACGUG